GAUGGCCCACAAGCGAAUUCAGUAGGCAUGUCCCAGGAGUACAGGACAAUGCGCCAGUGCACAAAUCAACUAUUGCAAUGGCUACAAGUCAAGUGGGCGACCUUGAACUCAUUCAGCAUCCAUCUAGGUCUGUCAGACAUUAUCUGUUUCCUAAUGGACGAAGACUUAAGAGCAGCUGUGGAUAACGUUUUGUGGACAGCUAAUACAAGAACAGGAUUGCUACGAAACUGGGAUACUAUCCUUCCAUCGUCGUUUGCAAAAGUUCUUUCUGUGGAAGGGAAAUGCCCCAAAGGCUUUCUCAGCAAUGUAUUUCAUGUUUGGGGAGCGCCUGUACCUGCACCUGUUGUGGAAGCAGACUGGGGCGGCGACAGCGCUGACUGGUGGUCCUCGCCAGAGGUGAUGUCAAACUAGGAAUCAAUGAAAGCUCUUGUUCACGGUCGUUUCACUGCCACCUCUAGGCCAUAACUAUCACAAGAUAGGACUGGACUACCAAGAACCAUCCUCAAUAUAUAACGAUAUAUUAAGCCCAACAGGCACAUCCUUGUAUUAAACGACGGCAAGACACCAAUUGAAGUCAGGAACAAUGACGGCUAUGCGGUUACUGCUCUGAUCGUGAGAAACUGUAUCACAGUUACGGCCACAAGAAACCUGCACCAAUAGUGAGUCACCAGACGGCAUUGGUCGUGUCCGCAACAAGUCUGGGGUUCAGUAUGAGUGGCUGGAGAGAACGUGAGCGAUACGAAGAGCGCAGUAUGGUCGUGACAACGAGCUGACCGCGCAGACAUUUUAGGAGACCGAUGGAUUUAAAUGAAACCGCGAUUCAGAAUGUGUACCCUGCUAUUAUAACUCAUAACUGUUAAUAAAUGUAA